rnacentral:rRNA from 1 species
GGGUUGUGAGGUUAAGCGAACAAGCGUACACGGUGGAUGCCCUGGCAGUCAGAGGCGAUGAAGGACGUGCUAAUCUGCGAAAAGCGCCGGUAAGGUGAUAUGAACCGUUACAGCCGGCGAUGUCCGAAUGGGGAAACCCAGUGCAAUUCGUUGCACUAUCUCAGCAUGAAUACAUAGUGCUGUGAGGCGAACCGGGGGAACUGAAACAUCUAAGUACCCCGAGGAAAAGAAAUCAACCGAGAUUCCCCCAGUAGCGGCGAGCGAACGGGGAACAGCCCAGAGCCUGAAUCAGCUUGUGUGUCAGUGGAACGGUCUGGAAAGGCCGGCGAUACAGGGUGACAGCCCCGUACACGAAGGCACACAGGCUGUGAGCUCGAUGAGUAGGGCGGGACACGUGAUAUCCUGUCUGAAGAUGGGGGGACCAUCCUCCAAGGCUAAAUACUCCUGACUGACCGAUAGUGAACCAGUACCGUGAGGGAAAGGCGAAAAGAACCCCGGCGAGGGGAGUGAAACAGAACCUGAAACCGUGUACGUACAAGCAGUGGGAGCCUUCGUAAGAGGGUGACUGCGUACCUUUUGUAUAAUGGGUCAGCGACUUAUAUUCUGUAGCAAGGUUAACCGUAUAGGGGAGCCGAAGGGAAACCGAGUCUUAAUUGGGCGUUAAGUUGCAGGGUAUAGACCCGAAACCCGGUGAUCUAGCCAUGGGCAGGUUGAAGGUUGGGUAACACUAACUGGAGGACCGAACCGACUAAUGUUGAAAAAUUAGCGGAUGACCUGUGGCUGGGGGUGAAAGGCCAAUCAAACCGGGAGAUAGCUGGUUCUCCCCGAAAGCUAUUUAGGUAGCGCCUCGUGAAUUCAUCUUCGGGGGUAGAGCACUGUUUCGGCUAGGGGGCCAUCCCGGCUUACCAACCCGAUGCAAACUACGAAUACCGAAGAAUGUUAUCACGGGAGACACACGGCGGGUGCUAACGUCCGUCGUGAAGAGGGAAACAACCCAGACCGCCAGCUAAGGUCCCAAAGUCAUGGUUAAGUGGGAAACGAUGUGGGAAGGCACAGACAGCCAGGAUGUUGGCUUAGAAGCAGCCAUCAUUUAAAGAAAGCGUAAUAGCUCACUGGUCGAGUCGGCCUGCGCGGAAGAUGUAACGGGGCUAAACCAUGCACCGAAGCUGCGGCAGCGACACUAUGUGUUGUUGGGUAGGGGAGCGUUCUGUAAGCCUGCGAAGGUGUGCUGUGAGGCAUGCUGGAGGUAUCAGAAGUGCGAAUGCUGACAUAAGUAACGAUAAAGCGGGUGAAAAGCCCGCUCGCCGGAAGACCAAGGGUUCCUGUCCAACGUUAAUCGGGGCAGGGUGAGUCGACCCCUAAGGCGAGGCCGAAAGGCGUAGUCGAUGGGAAACAGGUUAAUAUUCCUGUACUUGGUGUUACUGCGAAGGGGGGACGGAGAAGGCUAUGUUGGCCGGGCGACGGUUGUCCCGGUUUAAGCGUGUAGGUGUGUGUUCCAGGUAAAUCCGGUUCACUUUAACACUGAGGCGUGAUGACGAGGCACUACGGUGCUGAAGUAACAAAUGCCCUGCUUCCAGGAAAAGCCUCUAAGCAUCAGGUAACAUCAAAUCGUACCCCAAACCGACACAGGUGGUCAGGUAGAGAAUACCAAGGCGCUUGAGAGAACUCGGGUGAAGGAACUAGGCAAAAUGGUGCCGUAACUUCGGGAGAAGGCACGCUGACAUGUAGGUGAAGCCCCUGCGGGUGGAGCUGAAGUCAGUCGAAGAUACCAGCUGGCUGCAACUGUUUAUUAAAAACACAGCACUGUGCAAACACGAAAGUGGACGUAUACGGUGUGACGCCUGCCCGGUGCCGGAAGGUUAAUUGAUGGGGUUAUCGCAAGAGAAGCUCCUGAUCGAAGCCCCGGUAAACGGCGGCCGUAACUAUAACGGUCCUAAGGUAGCGAAAUUCCUUGUCGGGUAAGUUCCGACCUGCACGAAUGGCGUAAUGAUGGCCAGGCUGUCUCCACCCGAGACUCAGUGAAAUUGAACUCGCUGUGAAGAUGCAGUGUACCCGCGGCAAGACGGAAAGACCCCGUGAACCUUUACUACAGCUUGACACUGAACAUUGAGCCUUGAUGUGUAGGAUAGGUGGGAGGCUUUGAAGCGUGGACGCCAGUCUGCGUGGAGCCAACCUUGAAAUACCACCCUUUAAUGUUUGAUGUUCUAACCUGGCGCCGUAAUCCGGCGUGGGGACAGUGUCUGGUGGGUAGUUUGACUGGGGCGGUCUCCUCCCAAAGUGUAACGGAGGAGCACGAAGGUCAGCUAAUCCUGGUCGGACAUCAGGAGGUUAGUGCAAUGGCAUAAGCUGGCUUGACUGCGAGAGUGACGGCUCGAGCAGGUGCGAAAGCAGGUCAUAGUGAUCCGGUGGUUCUGUAUGGAAGGGCCAUCGCUCAACGGAUAAAAGGUACUCCGGGGAUAACAGGCUGAUACCGCCCAAGAGUUCAUAUCGACGGCGGUGUUUGGCACCUCGAUGUCGGCUCAUCACAUCCUGGGGCUGAAGUAGGUCCCAAGGGUAUGGCUGUUCGCCAUUUAAAGUGGUACGCGAGCUGGGUUUAGAACGUCGUGAGACAGUUCGGUCCCUAUCUGCCGUGGGCGCUGGAGAAUUGAGGGGGGCUGCUCCCAGUACGAGAGGACCGGAGUGGACGCAUCACUGGUGUUCGGGUUGUCAUGCCAAUGGCACUGCCCGGUAGCUAAAUGCGGAAGAGAUAAGUGCUGAAAGCAUCUAAGCACGAAACUUGCCCCGAGAUGAGUUCUCCCUGAGACUAUAAGUCUCCUGAAGGAACGUUGAAGACGACGACGUUGAUAGGCCGGGUGUGUAAGCGCAGCGAUGCGUUGAGCUAACCGGUACUAAUGAACCGUGAGGCUUAACCUUACAACGCCAAAGAAGU